rnacentral:rRNA from 1 species
GACGAACGCUGGCGGCGUGCUUAACACAUGCAAGUCGAACGGGCCCGCUCUCUUUUUUGGGGGUGGGUUGAGUGGCGAACGGGUGAGUAUCACGUGAGUAACCUGCCCCCUGCUCCUGGAUAACUGCUUGAAAGGGCGGCUAAUACGGGGUGUGUCGGCUGGUCCGCAUGGGCCAGGGCGGGAUAGGUUCAUCUUCGGGUGUUUCGGCGGGGGACGGGCUCGCGGGGUAUCAGCUUGUUGGUGGGGCGAUGGCCCACCAAGGAGGUGACGGGUGGGUGGCCGGACAGGGAGGGUGGGCGGCCAGGCUGUGAGUGAGACACGGGCCAGACUCCGGCGGGAGGCAGCGGUGAGGGGUAUUGCACGGUGGGCGGAAGCCUGAUGCAGCGACGUCGCGUGAGGGAGGGAGGCCUUCGGGUUGUGCACCUCUUUCUGCGGGAGUGAAGGCCGUGUCCGUUGCGGCGGGGUUGACGGUAGCCGGGUAUGAAGCGCCGGCUAACUACGUG